UAUAUAGAUCUUCCUUCUAUUGAUUAUGUGACACUUGUCAUUCAAAAAUAUAGUGGUUGGUAAAUAUUUAUAACUAUUCCUUUUUAAUAGAAGCAAUAAUUUUUCUACUCCAUCAGAUUCAUCAAUCCACAGUGAUAGUGUUAUUGCUCUUGGUGUGUCAGUAGGUGUAUUGUUGAUUCUACUAACUGUCAGUGUUGCUAUUAAUAUCUGCUGCUUUAUAAGAAAUAAAGUUCAUUUUGCCACAGGUGCUACUAUUAAAGACCCAAAAGCUGAUAAAGAUAUUGCAUUGCAAGUAUGUCAAACAUAUCAAAUUCAUAAGACUGAAGUUGGGGAAGAGAUUGAAGUGGUCUAUGAUGAAUGUCAUGCAUCACCUGAUGCUACUCGCACAUAUUAUGAACUCUGAUGAUGUACUGAAUAUUGA